AAACCAGCACCUCAAGUGGUCAGGAGGAUUAUUGGGCCUAAAGCAUCCGUAGCUUGCUGCAUAAGUUUUCGGUUAAAUCCAUACGCUCAACGUAUGGGCUGCCGGGAAUACUGUGCAGCUAGGGAGUGGGAGAGGUAGACGGUACUCGGUAGGAAGGGGUAAAAUCCUUUGAUCUAUUGAUGACCACCUGUGGCGAAGGCGGUCUACCAGAACACGUUCGACGGUGAGGGAUGAAAGCUGGGGGAGCAAACCGGAUUAGAAACCCGUGUAGUCC
rnacentral:rRNA from 1 species